AGAAUAAUGACGGUACCUCAAGAAAAAGCACCGGCUAACUACGUGCCAGCAGCCGCGGUAAUAAGUAGGGGGCGAGCGUUGUCCGGAAUUAUUGGGGGUAAAGGGGGGGUAGGCGGGUUUUUAAGUCAGAUGUGAAAUACCCGGGCUCAACCCCGGGAAUGCAUUUGAAACUGUCUUUCUUGAGUGCGGGAGAGGGAAGUGGAAUUCCUAGUGUAGCGGUGAAAUGCGUAGAUAUUUGGAGGAACACCAGUGGCGAAGGCGGCUUUCUGGACUGUAACUGACGCUGAGGCGCGAAAGCGUGGGGAGCAAACAGGAUUAGAUACCCUGGUAGUCCACGCCGUAAACGAUGGAUACUAGGUGUGGGGGUAUCGACCCCUUCAGUGCCGCAGCUAACGCAAUAAGUAU
rnacentral:rRNA from 1 species